UCUUUCUUUGCUGGCGACCGGCGCACGGGUGAGUAACACGUAUCCAACCUACCCUUUACUCGGGGAUAGCCUUUCGAAAGAAAGAUUAAUACCCGAUAGCAUAAUGAUUCCGCAUGGUUUCAUUAUUAAAGGAUUCCGGUAAAGGAUGGGGAUGCGUUCCAUUAGGUUGUUGGUGGGGUAACGGCCCACCAAGCCUACGAUCGGUAGCCGGACUGAGAGGUUGAUCGGCCACAUUGGGACUGAGACACGGCCCAGACUCCUACGGGAGGCAGCAUG
rnacentral:rRNA from 1 species